ACUGAAAACAACUUGAAAAUAAAUAAUCUUAAAACAUGUCUGGAAUCUCUGUGAUCUCCACAGGCCAAUCUGGAGAAGACGUGCCGCACUCUGGAAGACCAGCUGAGUGAGCUUAAGACAAAGGAAGAGGAGCAUCAGCGCAUGAUCAAUGACCUCAAUGCUCAAAGAGCUCGUUUGCAGACAGAGUCGGGUGAAUAUUCCCGUCAAGUUGAGGAGAAAGAUGCUCUGAUUUCUCAGCUGUCAAGAGGCAAACAGGCAUUCACCCAACAGAUUGAGGAACUCAAGAGACACUUAGAGGAGGAGAUAAAGGCCAAGAACGCCCUGGCCCACGCCUUGCAGUCUGCUCGCCACGACUGUGACUUGCUGCGGGAGCAAUAUGAGGAGGAGCAGGAAGCCAAGGGGGAGCUGCAGCGCGCCCUGUCCAAGGCCAACAGCGAAGUGGCCCAGUGGAGAACCAAAUACGAGACGGACGCCAUUCAGCGCACGGAGGAGCUGGAGGAGGCCAAGAAGAAGCUGGCACAGAGACUGCAGGAAGCAGAGGAACAUGUUGAAGCCGUCAAUGCCAAAUGUGCCUCCCUGGAAAAGACAAAGCAGAGGCUGCAGAAUGAAGUGGAGGACCUGAUGAUUGAUGUGGAAAGAGCAAAUGCUGCCUGUGCUGCUCUGGAUAAGAAGCAGAAGAACUUUGACAAGAUCCUGGCAGAAUGGAAGCAGAAGUACGAGGAAACGCAGGCUGAGCUGGAAGCCUCUCAGAAGGAGUCUCGCUCGCUCAGCACGGAGCUAUUUAAGAUGAAGAACGCCUAUGAGGAGUCCUUGGACCACCUGGAAACGCUGAAGCGUGAGAACAAGAACUUGCAGCAGGAGAUUUCCGACCUCACGGAGCAGAUUGCAGAGGGAGGAAAGGCGAUCCAUGAGCUGGAGAAAGUCAAGAAGCAGAUUGAGCAGGAGAAAUCUGAAAUCCAGGCUGCUUUGGAGGAAGCUGAGGCCUCCCUUGAACAUGAAGAGGGGAAGAUCCUGCGCCUGCAGCUUGAGCUCAACCAGGUGAAGUCAGAGAUUGACAGGAAGAUAGCAGAGAAAGAUGAGGAGAUCGACCAGAUGAAGAGAAACCACCUCAGGAUUGUGGAGUCCAUGCAGAGCACCCUGGACGCUGAGAUCAGGAGCAGGAACGAAGCCCUGCGGCUGAAGAAGAAGAUGGAGGGAGACCUGAAUGAAAUGGAGAUCCAGCUGAGCCAUGCCAACCGCGUGGCUGCUGAGGCCCAGAAGAACCUGAGGAACACACAGGCUGUGCUGAAGGAUACCCAGAUACACUUGGAUGAUGCUCUCAGGACUCAGGAGGACCUGAAGGAGCAGGUGGCCAUGGUGGAGCGCAGAGCAAACCUGCUGCAGGCUGAAAUUGAGGAGCUACGGGCAGCGCUGGAGCAGACGGAGCGUUCAAGGAAAGUGGCUGAGCAGGAACUGAUGGAUGCCACUGAGCGUGUGCAGCUGCUCCAUACACAGAACACCAGCUUGAUCAAUACCAAGAAGAAGCUGGAAACAGACAUCACACAAAUUCAGAGUGAAAUGGAGGACACAAUCCAGGAAGCCCGCAAUGCUGAAGAGAAGGCCAAGAAGGCCAUCACAGAUGCAGCCAUGAUGGCAGAGGAGCUGAAGAAGGAGCAGGACACCAGCGCCCACCUAGAGAGGAUGAAGCCCCAGAGGGGGAAGGCCCUGCAGCACCGUCUGGAUGAGGCUGAGCAGUUGGCCCUGAAGGGAGGCAAGAAGCAAAUCCAGAAGCUGGAGGCCAGAGUGCGGGAGCUGGAAGGGGAGGUCGACGCUGAGCAGAAGCGCAGCGCUGAGGCCGUGAAGGGUGUGCGCAAGUACGAGAGGAGGGUAAAGGAGCUGACCUACCAGUCUGAGGAAGACCGGAAGAAUAUUCUCCGGCUGCAGGAUCUGGUGGACAAGCUGCAAACGAAGGUGAAAUCCUACAAGAGACAAGCUGAGGAGGCUGAGGAGCUGUCCAAUGUCAAUCUCACAAAGUUCCGCAAGAUCCAGCACGAGCUGGAGGAAGCCGAGGAGCGCGCUGACAUUGCGGAGUCGCAGGUCAACAAGCUCCGAGCUAAGAGCCGGGAGUUUCAUGGCAAGAAGAUCGAAGAGGAAGAGUGAGGAUGUCAUGAGGCAACAAAGUGACCUGAGGGCUGCACAAAAUGUGAACCUCUUGGUCACUUCUGUAAUUAGUCUUUGUAACCUUGUCAAUGUCUAGUGAAUAAAGAUUGUAGAUUCCGUUGCA